GUUGCUUCUUGGCAUUUUGGCUAAGAUCAAGUGUAGUAACUGACAGAUUGAUGUCUCUGUUGCAAGUGAAAGUAUUCAGUAUAUAAAGAAUGGUUUUUCUUAUGUUUGUUUUUAGUACAAAGUACUCUCUGUUCUCCCAGGAUCUGGGAUGGGUAUUGCAGUAUCCACACCAUCUACGCAAA